rnacentral:rRNA from 1 species
CCCUUAGACGUUCUGGGCCGCACGCGCGCUACACUGACCAGUGCAACAAGCAUCCGUCCUUGGCCGACAGGCCCGGGCAAUCUUUGAACGCUGGUCGUGAUGGGGAUAGACUUUUGCAAUUUUUGGUCUUCAACGAGGAAUUCCUAGUAAACGCAAGUCAUCAGCUUGCAUUGAUUACGUCCCUGCCCUUUGUACACACCGCCCGUCGCACCUACCGAUUGAAUGGUCCGGUGAAAUCUCCGGACUGGCGUGAGUCGGAGCAAUCUGACAAACACCGGAAAGUUGAUUAAACCUUACCAUUUAGAGGAAGGUGAANUCGUANCA